AUGUCUAUAUGUCUUGUUAUGCACGAGCAACAAGACAUGUAGUAGUGCCAUGUAAUUUUGUGAGAUGGAAGGAUGUGUGUCACAUUAGCCAAAGAUUUUGUAUCAAAGAAAAAUGUUAACGGUAGUGAAGCAAUACAAAAGAACACAUCAUUACCGCUUAACAUUAUAUGUUCAAGUGCAGUUUACAUAUGUUUCAUACUCACCAAGAUGGUUGGUUGGCUCAUCAAGCAAAAGGAUGGUCGGAUUCAUGAACAGUGCCCUUGCCAACGCAAUCCGC
rnacentral:lncRNA from 1 species